rnacentral:antisense_RNA from 2 species
GCGGAGACAAAUGUUUCCGUUCACUCCUCACACCACACUCCGCCCGGACCUAGUUCGGGCGGUU